AAUGCAGCUGUCUCUUGGAAGCUGAGCCGUGAAGUAAGAAAUUGGGAGACGUAAAGCUGACGUGGAAAGCUUUCCCCUUCCUUAGCAGGGAGGCGCUGCUCACGUGACCAAAUGUUAAAAUUGACAAGCUAUGAGUACGGGCCCUCUUCCUCUCCCUCUCCCCCACCCCUCCCCCUCCUUUCUCCUUCCCCUCCUUGGGAGCCAUCUCGAGAGAAGCAACAGAUCGUCCCCUCGGGUCUCCAGGCGUUAAAAAUAGAACAAAACACCGAAACGCAAAGAUUUAAAUGCAGUUUAUUCCUAUCUGACUUUUGAACGAGAACUUCCAAAAGAAGGAAAAAAGGAAGGGAAGACCUGCGUACCGUUUUUUUUUUCCUUUCAUUAGAUACUCUCCCCUUCUCUCUGUUUAAACUAGCUAGACCCCAUUCUGGUCUAGGAAACAGGAGGUUUGGAACCUGCAGAAUCCUGCUUCUCGCCCCUUCCUCUUUUUCCUCCUGGGUCUGAAGAAAUGUCUUGUCACAGACAUACACACUCUCACCCACACACUCUCCUCAGCAUAGGCAGGUCUGUCUUACGGGCUGCGCCGCUCCGCAACCUCUUGGGGUCUUCCUGAAAGGUCCCUCGAUUAGAUAAUCCGCCAGAUCUCCAGGCUUUUCUGAAAGCCUCUGCCGACCAGCGUGCGCCAGGGUCAAGUCUGCACAUUAGUGUCUUCCUUCUCCUGGAUACCUAGUCACCUCAGCUAACUCGGGAAUUUUCACCGGCCUUUGCUUUGAACGCUGAAUUUGUACAUUAAGUGUCUUUAACCAGAGUUUUAUUCCUUUCUUCUCUGUCAUUCAUCUUCCAUAUUCUGAAUUUUCGUCCUGAUUUCCUAUAGUAAGAGGUCUUUGAGACAGCAAGUGGUCAGAAAAAGGAUCUAAUAUCAGAGAAAUAGCUGCCAGGUUGAACGACCCCUUCUAUCCGAUUCUGGAAGCUGCAACUUUGAAAUAAGAACUAGGUUUUGCCAACUGAUUGAGUGAAAGUGGCAUUUCAGAGAGUUAGCAGAUUUGCGUCCUCCCCAACACCCUUCACUAGCCAGAAGAAAGGCCUUCAGAAGUGGUGCCCAAAGUGGUGUCCGAAGCUCAAAAUUAACAGUAAAAAGAACAUCCUUAUAUUUAUUCAGAGCCAAAAGAGACAAAGAGAGACAGAAAUAUUGCUAUACAACACUCUUCUGGCAGGAAGCAAGCACCAUACUUCUGCAGGCUAACUUAUUCUGAUGGAAAAGAAAAUAAACUCCCCACCCCCAUAACUAAUUAGAAAGUCAUGUCCGUGUGUAUCUGUGGGUUUGUGUGUGUUUCUCUGUAUCUGUCAGGAGUAUGUCUAGGGUAGAAAUUUGAUCUACCCGCUGCUCUUCGGGCAACUGAUUCUAAAAUUAUCAAAGAAAAUAGGGCACAUUUCCUAGUGGCAUCGAAAUCCAUUGUCUGAAAAUUAGGGGAAAGAAAAAGUGGAAUUAUUGGGAGUGGAAAUAAUGAUUCUCAAUUCUAUUCUUCCCUCCUUGGAAAAUAAACCUUGAAUAGCCUUACUCUGCAUUCUGGGUGUUUAGGAUUUAAUUGUCGGGACCCAUUUGUUUAUUUAUUACAGAAUUAAUUCUAACUGACUCAAUAAUAUUGGGUUCUGGCAGAAAAAUACCUUGAUUGUGUAUUUUCUUUGCCUUUGAUUUAAGUAUGCCGAGUUGUAAACAUCAAUAUUAUCUAGUAAGUACUUGUGGUGGAAUACACUAAUUUAUUAGCAUUAAUGUUUAUAUACCUUUUAAUGCUCCCCCUCUUUUCUUCUGCUCUCCCUUUUCUUUUCUUUUUUUACAAGGGUAACCCAUCGCAAAUCAACAGCUUUGGACAUAUCCCUUUAAUGAACUCUUUAUUUUGGAUCGCUGGAAUAACUUUUAUGGGCCUUCAACGUUUGUAAACUGAACUUGAAAUUAUUAAUUAAUCUCCGUCUUUGUCACAUUUGCCAAAAGAGUCGAUGAAAAUAGGAGAUAAGGGUGUCAUCAAAGGACCGGUUACAGCUUGCUCGGGGUCUAUGUGGGACUAUAAAAUGGUUUUAUUUCUCCUUUCUUUCUUUGUGUAUGUGUGUGUGUUGAAGGUUUUUUUUUAAGAGAAAUUUUUACAAAAAUAUGCAACAGGGAUGCUUGCCAACUUGACUUCAACAGCAGCCUUGUUGCUUUUCCGUAUUUUUUUUCCUUCUCAAGCAAAAUACCUGCCUCUGAGUUCAUGCUCCAACCUUUCCCAUUCUUGAUAUAAAAACUGCAUUUCCUCUCCUUUUCUGAAGGCCUCUCUCCCCCCCCCACCCCGCAAAUCCAGCGAUAACAAAGGCGCCACAGUUGCACAGAGUCGCCCCGCCUCUGUUGCUCUAUAGCAAACAGCUUCCUUGCCCUUGCAGGAGACGAGCAUUUCAGGCGCUCUUAGAACCCGGCGCGUCUAGGAAGGGGCGAAAAACAGCUCUCAACUGACUUGGGCUUUUAUAGCACUUUUGGCAGUCAACUUCAGCUUGUCUCCAGCAGACGCGACUGAAAGCUGACCGAAAGCACCGCCUUCCCCGAAGCUUUCAAGAAAGAUUGUCCUUUAGGGUAAAGGGGGCAACAGACCUGGAAGGCGAGCUCUAUACAGUAAUGGCAAGGGCACCUUUGGGCAGCCAAGGACCGUCUGUGUAUUCCUUUCAGACAAGAGAGGAACGAAGACUCCGUCUCGGGGAGGCGAUAAGGCACAGAGACGGAGGGGAGGGGGGAUUGAGAGAGAUGGAGUGGAGAAAGUGGUUGCGGUGACCCGCAGCUCCAAUCUCUGCUUCAGUUUAUUUCUUCUGGGUUUACGCAACUAGUGGGAAGCUUGGAGAUUUGGGGAAGGUGCAUUCAAACGCAAGGCAUAAAGAGCCUCCCGCUGAACUCCCAUACGGAUGGCAGGUUUCCUUGAGAGGAGUGCCAUUCAGCAGACUUCUUCGCUUCCUUCGUUGCCAGGUGAAAAGUAGCGAGGGAAUGCCCAGACUCUUCCCAAUAGUUCGCCAGCAUCCCCAACCUGCUGCCAAAAAUUCCCUCUCUCUUAGUCCUGGCCCUUCUCCACUAUACGCAAGUUUAUGAGGCCUCUCCUUCGGAAAUGUUCCUGAGUUUUCAUAUACUUGGAAGCGGAUGGAUGAGAAGAGCAAGGAAGGAGUAGAGAGCAGCGUUCUAAUUUACUCCGCUGGAAACCAGGACCCAAUCCAGUACUAGGACUUUCUUUGAUGAAGAAAAGUCUUUUGGCACUUCAUUGUUCUAUAGAAUCUUUUCCACAUUGGAGUGAAAGUUAACCAGCACCAACUGAAUGAGGAGGUGACAAGGCUGUGAGAAAAUUACACCGCACAGUAGGAUAAGACCGAGACGCAGAAAACUAUAUUAAAGACAGUUUAAACGGCACUCCCGCGGCCUGGGAUCUGUUGUUUUGCCGCAAGGGACACAACGCAUCUGAAUCGUUUUAGCCAUACAACAAUUAUUCACACUCAAUGGCUGGAGAUUCACGUGUGUUUUCUUACCCCAGUCGCCAGGAUCCGGUGUCGCGGCGCAAAACAUCCGUGGGGAAUUUGGCCUGCAGGGAGCCUGUCCGGUCGAGGAGAGUGAGCCGCCCGCCCCAUUUCAAGAACCGAAGUCGGUUCUGCAGGACGGGACGUGCCGGAACCGGUUCUGCCUUCGCUCAGGAAGCCCGCGGCUCUCCGGUUCACUUUUCUGCUUGCCGCGAACUUGAGGCCAAACGUUCUCCAACUGUUCGCCUUGUUGGCGGCUCCUUUCCCACUCCUGCUGCUUAAACAGCCGGCGGCGGAGAUGAUUAAGCAGAACGGAGUCCGGGAAAUCAGAUUCAAGGGUUAUGUAAUCCCACGAAUCUCCUAUUUCUGUUCCCCUCCCCUUUCUUCCCGGUCUCGGUCUCGGUCUCGGUUUCGGUCUCGAAAGCAUCCGCUGCUCUUUCCCUGGCGGGACCCUCAGGCAUUGCUUCCUCAAA